rnacentral:rRNA from 1 species
GCUACGGGUGGCAGCAGUGAGGAAUAUUGGUCAAUGGACGAGAGUCUGAACCAGCCAAGUAGCGUGAAGGAUGACUGUCCUAUGGGUUGUAAACUUCUUUUAUAUGGGAAUAAAAUGUUCCACGUGUGGGAUUUUGUAUGUACCAUAUGAAUAAGGAUCGGCUAACUCCGUUCCAGCAGCCGCGGUAAUACGGAGGCUUCGAGCGUUAUCCGGAUUUAUUGGGUUUAAAGGGAGCGUAGGUGGAUUGUUAAGUCAGUUGUGAAAGGUUGCGGCUCAACCGUAACAGUGCAGUUGAAACUGGCAGUCUUGAGUACAGUAGAGGUGGGCGGAAUUCGUGGUGUAGGGGUGAAAUGCUUAGAUAUCACGAAGAACUCCGAUUGCGAAGGCAGUUCACUGGACUGCAACUGACGCUGAGGCUCGAAAGUGUGGGUAUCAAACAGGAGUAGAUACCCGAGUAGUC